UACGUAGGGUGCGAGCGUGUCCGGAAUUACUGGGCGUAAAGAGCUCGUAGGUGGUUUGUCGCGUUGUCCGUGAAAACUCACAACUCAAUUGUGGGCGUGCGGGCGAUACGGGGCAGACUGGAGUACUGCAGGGGGAGACUGGAAUUCUGGUGUAGCGGUGGGAAUGCGCAGAUAUCAGGAGGAACACCGGUGGCGAAGGCGGGGU
rnacentral:rRNA from 1 species